UGAAAUUGGUGAAUUAUGUUGC
rnacentral:siRNA from 1 species